ensembl:lncRNA
CCUUCCUUCGCCUCCCAAUCUCCUCCUCCCCUCUCAGAAGCGCUCACUGUUAAGUGUCCGAAUUAUGACUGCAAAGCGAUUGCUGCCCUCAGUUACAGAAAAAAGGAAACCGCCUCCUUUGUCUUCCCUCAUCAACCUCCCAGGCUGGGUCUCCCCAGCAGCAGCGCUCGUUGUCUCCAUGAGAUGCGGGGGCACACGUCUCGUUUUAGACAGUGUCCAUCCUCGUAGUCCCGUAGUCUAGCCACACAGCGGCGUUUCCAAGGCCGAUUUCUCAUCUACUGCCCCUUCCUAUCUCAUGUGAAAGCGCCUCCUUCCUUUUCUAGCUGGAUUACCUCUGUGUGACCUGGAUUCCAGCCUUCCCAGAGGCUUCCUUGAAGGAACCACAGUGCCUGAGGAUCAAGAACGAUUCACUGCUGGAUCCUCCAACGCCUCUACGGUAAGCGGUAAGCGGUAAGUGGUGGCAAUGGAAAUAUGCAGGAGCUCCACUGCUGAGGCCCUGAGGUCACCAGGUUUUGUCUACACCUCCUCAAUCAACUAAUGCCCUAAUCAGCACUGACUCCCCCAGCUUCCUGAUUAGUGACUUGCUGGAGCCGCAUGACAAGUCAGGAUACAACUGUGAGUCAACCUCUUGUUUCUGGUGCCUCAUCACUUCUCCCCAAAGACAGCCAUACAUCACUUAGGAAGAAAUGAGGAAACGAGGCAAACAAGAAAUGAAGAAACUGAGCAAAAAAGAAAAUAAAAAAGACCAAAAUCAGAUCCCAUGUAUUUGUGUAGGAGGGACUGGCUCGAUUGUGAACGCUGAAGAAGCAUACACACUGUCUGCCAUGGAAGGACAAGAGGGCACUGCUCUGCAAAACUCGGAAACUCGGAUGUUCCAUUACUUACUUGGCCUCUUUAGACCGUAUCCUCAGAGGAGAUGUAUCUUUGAACUCAAAUUCAAUAUUUGACCAAACCAAACAACUAAAAAUGUUCAUUAAAAACAAACAAAGCCAAAACCAACAAUAGCCUAAAUAUUAGGAAAAAUUCCUUUUGUGAAUUAAAUUUACUUACUAAUAGAUUCAUUCUUAAAGUUAGAUGCUUUCUUUUUUACCAAGGCUUUGCAAGCUUUUAGUUUACGGAAAGAAGUUAUUAUUGACGGAAUUUAGUUUUCCUGAGAACUCAGUAUUAUUUUCAACUCUAAGAAUACACAUGCGUUGCAGUAAAGAGACAUGGUCUAAUAUUAUGCAAAAAUCUCACCUAAGGUCUGGCAAAUCAGAGCAGUUCCCAGGCCCCACACAGCACCAAAGUGUCAUUGGAACCAGUGCUUCAGAAUAAGGAGCCUCUCUAAUUUGUCUCAUCCCCAAAGAAGCUAGUCCACUGGAAUAGGCACACAGUGAUACUCAAUAAUACUGCUUAAAUCAAGAAAUCUGUAUUUAUGUACAUAUAUUCAUUGACUCUCAGAAUUACUUACGUAAUGUACUUAUGCACCUUUAUUUCUCCAGGCAAAACAAUUCAGGUAAAACUGCCCUCCUCUUUUCCAGUUUCCUUUCCUUCAAAAAUCCUCCUCCUUUCAGGUUUUCCUCUUCGACACUGCUGUGGACAUUAACUUUAAUUAGGUUAGAAUCCUGUACAAAAUGCUGGGGAGCAGGAGACAAGAGGUACAUUUGACCUAGACUCCAAAGCUUCACAGAUGGCCCCCGACAUGGAGAGGAGCCAGCACAAAUUUCAGCACAGUUUUCUACACUGUAUUAUGUGCCCCCAAAUGCAACUCUCCAUUAGAAAACAGGAAUGUCAUGGCUUGAGUAUUGACUUCAGAGUCCUCACCCAGAACAGACUUGGGUGGCCUACAGAAGUGCUUGAGAUUUUCUGCUCACUCCACAGGGUAAACACUGAAGGCUGCUAUUGCAAUCAUCCAAGUAAAAUUUUUGUGUUUACACUUUAGCAUCAUUCAUAUUAACUGUCUAGUCCCUCUGUAAGUUUCUGAAAAAAUAAGGUAGGCAAGUUCAGAGUUUGGAUGAUGAUAAAAGGCCAGAAAAUGUCUAGAGCAUAUGGAGAGGCCUGGGGGGUGGGGAGAGGGCUUGUAGGGGUAGAGAGCCCCGGUGAACUAGAAGUCAGCAUGAGGGCACUGGACACCAUGGAUAAAACAUAAUGUCACUGACAGGGAGAAAAGAAGACUAAAGGAAACUAACAUUUCCAAAAAAUAAUUUCACAGCAGGCAGGCCCUGCGUUAGGACUUAGCAUAUACCAGCAUAUAUUAGCAUAUGAGAUUCAGGAGGAAGGAGAAUUUUUGUGCUUAUUUACAGUCAUUCAAGCAACAUUCAAAUAUAUUUUUGUUGUUUUGUUAUGUGAUUUACAGUUACAAAAAAAAAAGGAAGAAAGAAAAGCAAUGAGAAAAGUACAUUUUCCUAGAGAAAAAGUACCAUUGCUCUAGGUGUGAAAACCUGUGAACUAGAGAGACAAAUUAUCUGUCCCCUACCCAUCCAAUAUCCAUGGUGGGGUGGGCAUAGGAUAAUCACUAUAAACACUCCCAAUCAAAAAGGGAGACAACAGUAGGCAUGGAGCAGUCUCUGGGCCACAGCAAAUCCAACAGCACACAUGUGGCCAAUUUCUUGAUUAGGGUUCACUUUACUGCCUGCAAUGAUUCUCCUCAGCUCUUGGCUCCAUCCUCUGAGUUACCCUUCCUAUUUCAUAAAAUACAGCCCACACUUUAAGUUCAGUAGUUUGAUGAGCCUGCUUCCUGCCUGUAGAAGUUCCAGGGUCUAACAGCUUCUUUUCAUUUUGAAGCCAUCUCUGUUCCCUAUAGUCCAAGCUGGUAGUAUUUCUACACAUACAAUUUUCUUAAAAGCUCUUUCUUAUUGCCCUUAUUGGGGUUUAUUUCAUUCGAAAAAAGCCACAUCGACAAAUCUUACCUACCUGGGGCUCCCUGUAAAGCUGCUGUGGAUUAAUACCCUUAAUAGUCUUAGAAUUCCUAUUGUUUAAUGGAAAGGAUCUUUAAGCUUUUCUUUUUGCAAGGACUCAGAAGGUACCACCUUAAGUCCUUCUGGGUUCUUAACAAAGGAUUUUACAGUCAAAUCCUUAGCUUCAUCUUUACGAGAUGGUUUUGGAGAGGGCUGUGAAUUUGACUUUUGUCCCGAGGCCUUUUUUCACUUUGGGAAUAUUCUGCUGGGAGAGACUGAUCAUCAGAAAAAGAUUUUAACUUCCAACCCAGCUAGUCCUGACUCCUUUAUAUUUCCUCUAAAUUUUUCUUGAAAACUGAGUAAUUUCUCCUAUAGCUUAUCAUUAUCUGUAUUGUAUAAUAUGUUGCUAAAAGAAGCCAGGUAAGACUUCCAACCUUUAGCCUGAAAACUCCACACCAAUCCACCAGUUCACUGGGUAUGUUUUCUAUUUCUAUAUUAUCACGGGCAACACUUUUACUAACAAGGGCUUUCCCUCCAGCUUUAAUAAUUUUCCUCUCACAUUCCUUUAAGUCCUACUGACAACCUCAAGAGCUAU